rnacentral:rRNA from 1 species
AAUCAACGCUGGCGGCGUGCCUAACACAUGCAAGUCGAACGANAAAGGGGACUUCGGUCCCUGAGUACAGUGGCGCACGGGGUGAGUAACACGUGACUUAUCUACCCUCGAGUGGGGAAUAACUUCGGGAAACCGAGGCUAAUACCGCAUAAUACCCACGGGUCAAAGGAGCAAUUCGCUUGAGGAGGAGGUCGCGGCCCGAUUAGUUAGUUGGCGGGGUAAUGGCCCCCACCAAGACGGUGAACGGUAUCCGGCCUGAGAGGGCGCACGGACACACUGGAACUGAAACACGGUCCAGACUCCUACGGGAGGCAGCAGUGGGGAAUUUUGCGCAAUGGGGGAAACCCUGACGCAGCAACGCCGCGUGGAGGAUGAAGUCUCUUGGGACGUAAACUCCUUUCGAUCGGGACGAUUAUGACGGUACCGGAAGAAGAAGCCCCGGCUAACUCGUG